AUUGAACGCUGGCGGCAGGCCUAACACAUGCAAGUCGAGCGGAUGAAGAGAGCUUGCUCUCUGAUUUAGCGGCGGACGGGUGAGUAAUGCCUAGGAAUCUGCCUGGUAGUGGGGGAUAACGUCCGGAAACGGGCGCUAAUACCGCAUACGUCCUACGGGAGAAAGCAGGGGACCUUCGGGCCUUGCGCUAUCAGAUGAGCCUAGGUCGGAUUAGCUAGUUGGUGAGGUAAUGGCUCACCAAGGCUACGAUCCGUAACUGGUCUGAGAGGAUGAUCAGUCACACUGGAACUGAGACACGGUCCAGACUCCUACGGGAGGCAGCAGUGGGGAAUAUUGGACAAUGGGCGAAAGCCUGAUCCAGCCAUGCCGCGUGUGUGAAGAAGGUCUUCGGAUUGUAAAGCACUUUAAGUUGGGAGGAAGGGCAGUAAGUUAAUACCUUGCUGUUUUGACGUUACCGACAGAAUAAGCACCGGCUAACUUCGUGCCAGCCGCCGCCGUAACAC
rnacentral:rRNA from 1 species